UCGAUCCUACGGGGAGGCAGCAGUGGGGGAAUAUUGCACAAUGGGCGCAAGCCUGAUGCAGCCAUGCCGCGUGUAUGAAGAAGGACCUUCGGGUUGUAAAGUACUUUCAGCAGUGAGGAAGGUGGGUAUGUUAAUAGCAUAUUCAUUUGACGUUAGCUGCAGAAGAAAGCACCGGCUAACUCCGUGCCAGCAGCCGCGGUAAUACGGAGGGUGCGAGCGUUAAUCGGAAUUACUGGGCGUAAAGCGCAUGCAGGUGGUUUGUUAAGUCAGAUGUGAAAGCCCGGGGCUCAACCUCGGAAUUGCAUUUGAAACUGGCAAACUAGAGUACUGUAGAGGGGGGUAGGAAUUUCAGGUGUAGCGGUGAAAUGCGUAGAGAUCUGAAGGAAUACCGGUGGCGAAGGCGGCCCCCUGGACAGAUACUGACACUCAGAUGCGAAAGCGUGGGGAGCAAACAGGAUUAGAUACCCUGGUAG
rnacentral:rRNA from 1 species